UCGAACGCUUUGUGGUUCAACUGAUUUGAAGAGCUUGCUCAGAUAUGACGAUGGACAUUGCAAAGAGUGGCGAACGGGUGAGUAACACGUGGGAAACCUACCUCUUAGCAGGGGAUAACAUUUGGAAACAGAUGCUAAUACCGUAUAACAAUGACAACCGCAUGGUUGUUAUUUAAAAGAUGGUUCUGCUAUCACUAAGAGAUGGUCCCGCGGUGCAUUAGCUAGUUGGUAAGGUAAUGGCUUACCAAGGCGAUGAUGCAUAGCCGAGUUGAGAGACUGAUCGGCCACAAUGGGACUGAGACACGGCCCAUACUCCUACGGGAGGCAGCAGUAGGGAAUCUUCCACAAUGGGCGAAAGCCUGAUGGAGCAACGCCGCGUGUGUGAUGAAGGGUUUCGGCUCGUAAAACACUGUUGUAAGAGAAGAAUGACAUUGAGAGUAACUGUUCAAUGUGUGACGGUAUCUUACCAGAAAGGAACGGCUAAAUACGUGCCAGCAGCCGCGGUAAUACGUAUGUUCCAAGCGUUAUCCGGAUUUAUUGGGCGUAAAGCGAGCGCAGACGGUUAUUUAAGUCUGAAGUGAAAGCCCUCAGCUCAACUGAGGAAUUGCUUUGGAAACUGGAUGACUUGAGUGCAGUAGAGGAAAGUGGAACUCCAUGUGUAGCGGUGAAAUGCGUAGAUAUAUGGAAGAACACCAGUGGCGAAGGCGGCUUUCUGGACUGUAACUGACGUUGAGGCUCGAAAGUGUGGGUAGCAAACAGGAUUAGAUACCCUGGUAGUCCACACCGUAAACGAUGAGUGCUAGGUGUUUGAGGGUUUCCGCCCUUAAGUGCCGCAGCUAACGCAUUAAGCACUCCGCCUGGGGAGUACGACCGCAAGGUUGAAACUCAAAGGAAUUGACGGGGACCCGCACAAGCGGUGGAGCAUGUGGUUUAAUUCGAAGCAACGCGAAGAACCUUACCAGGUCUUGACAUCCCUUGACAACUCCAGAGAUGGAGCGUUCCCUUCGGGGACAAGGUGACAGGUGGUGCAUGGUUGUCGUCAGCUCGUGUCGUGAGAUGUUGGGUUAAGUCCCGCAACGAGCGCAACCCUUAUUACUAGUUGCCAGCAUUCAGUUGGGCACUCUAGUGAGACUGCCGGUGACAAACCGGAGGAAGGUGGGGAUGACGUCAAAUCAUCAUGCCCCUUAUGACCUGGGCUACACACGUGCUACAAUGGCGUAUACAACGAGUUGCCAACCCGCGAGGGUGAGCUAAUCUCUUAAAGUACGUCUCAGUUCGGAUUGUAGGCUGCAACUCGCCUACAUGAAGUCGGAAUCGCUAGUAAUCGCGGAUCAGCACGCCGCGGUGAAUACGUUCCCGGGUCUUGUACACACCGCCCGUCACACCAUGAGAGUUUGUAACACCCAAAGCCGGUGGGGUAACCUUCGGGAGCCAGCCGUCUA
rnacentral:rRNA from 1 species